rnacentral:rRNA from 1 species
UACGUAGGGUGCAAACGUUGCUCGGAAUUAUUGGGCGUAAAGCGCGCGUAGGCGGCUUGGCAAGUCGGAUGUGAAAUCCCUCGGCUCAACCAAGGAAGUGCAUCCGAAACUGCCGAGCUUGAGUACUUAAGAGGAUCGCGGAAUUCCCGGUGUAGAGGUGAAAUUCGUAGAUAUCGGGAGGAACACCAGUGGCGAAGGCGGCGAUCUGGGAAGAUACUGACGCUGAGGUGCGAAAGCGUGGGGAGCAAACAGG